rnacentral:rRNA from 1 species
AUUGAACGCUAGCGGGAUGCUUUACACAUGCAAGUCGAACGAGUGGCGGACGGGUGAGUAAUAUAUCGGAACGUGCCCAGUAGCGGGGGAUAACUCCUCGAAAGAGUGGCUAAUACCGAAUACUACUGGAGCGGCCGAGAGCGGAUUAGCUAGAUGGUGGGGUAAAGGCUCACCAAGGCAACGAUCCGUAGCUGGUUUGAGAGGAGGACCAGCCACACUGGGACUGAGACACGGCCCAGACUCCUACGGGAGGCAGCAGUGGGGAAUGUUGUACAAUGGGGGAAACCCUGAUCCAGCCAUCCCGCGUGUAUGAGAAGGCCUUCGGGUUGUAAAGUACUUUUGGCAGAGAAGCGUUAUCUGCAGAAUAAGCACCGGCUAACUACGUGCCAGCAGCCGCGGUAAUAC